AACCGGGUUCCAAUAACCAAAAAA
rnacentral:snRNA from 1 species